GAUAAACGUUGGCGGUGUGCUUUAUGCAUGCAAGUCGUACGGGAUUAUAGUUUUCGGAUUAUAGUCUAGUGGUGAAUGGCUGAGUAAUACAUAGGUAACCUGCCUGUGAGUGGUGGAUAACUUGCUGAAAAGCAGGCUAAUACAGCAUACGGUGAACAAGUGUUUCUUGUUCAUCAAAGCCUUCGGGUGCUCGCAGAGGGGCCUAUGCCUGAUUAGCUAGUUGGUGAGGUAACGGCUCACCAAGGCGAUGAUCAGUAGCUGGUCUUAGAGGAUGGUCAGCCAGAUGGGGACUGAGAUACGGCCCCAACUCCUACGGGAGGCAGCAGCAAGGAAUAUUGGGCAAUGGGCGAAAGCCUGACCCAGCGACACCGCGUGAGGGAUUAAGGCCUUCGGGUCGUAAACCUCUUUUCUCGAGGAAGAAGUUCUGACGGUACUCGAGGAAUAAGCCACGGCUAACUACGUGCCAGCAGCCGCGGUAAUACGUAGGUGGCGAACGUUAUCCGGAUUUAUUGGGCGUAAAGAGAGUGUAGGCGGCUUGUUAAGUCGAGUGUUAAAUCUCUUGACUCAAUCAGGAGCUGCAUUUGAUACUGGCAGGCUUGAGGGCAGCAGAGGAAAAUGGAAUUUCCAGUGUAGCGGUGAAAUGCGUUGAUAUUGGGAAGAACACCAGAGGCGAAGGCGGUUUUCCAGGCUGUUUCUGACGCUGAGAUUCGAAAGCGUGGGGAGCGAAGCGGAUUAGAUACCCGCGUAGUCCACGCCUUAAACGGUGGACAUUAGGUAUGGGAAGUAUCGACCCUUUCUGUGCCGUAGCUAACGCUUUAAAUGUCCCGCCUGGGGAGUACGGUCGCAAGGCUA
rnacentral:rRNA from 1 species